CCGUGGUGUAUUUACUACGAGCGUCUUGACAUUAUUUAAAGAAAACAAAAAUAAGUUUUAUCGAAAUAUUUGAUCUUUUUUUUUUUAAUUUUCAUUAAACACACUAACAAUCAGCUGCUAAAAAUCGAUAUUUGCAUGGCUUGUACUUCAUCUAACCCACCAAAAUUUACAACAUAUUUUAAACUGGUUUGCAGGAGGUCUGGUGUGGUGCUGAUAAUUGAACGCUACUAAUGCAAAACAUCACUGAUGAGGACAAUUUUGCUCCAAAUUAUACCGACGAGGAUGAUAGUUCUCCGAAUGGCCCAAGCCAAAACGAACAACAUGCCUGCAUACUAACAUUUUUAUACUAUUACGUCUAUUUUAAAAUCUUUUUGUUUGCCAUAUUUUUGCGUAAAUUCGUUGAAUUUGUUAAUGUAAAAACGUUUUAGAUGUACAAUAAAAUGCAUUUUCUAUGA